AGCGAACGCUGGCGGCAGGCCUAACACAUGCAAGUCGAACGAACCUUUCGGGGUUCGUGGCGGACGGGUGGGUAACCCGUGAGAACGUUCCCUUAGGUUCGGAAUCACCAAGGGAAACUUGUUCCAAUACCGCAUGUGCCCUUCGGGGGAAAGAUUAAUUGCCUCUAGAGCGGCCCGCGUCUGAUUAGCUCGUUGGUUGAGGUAAUGGCCCACCCAGGCGACGAUCCGGAGCCGGUCAGAGAGGAUUAUCAGACACAGUGGGACUGAGACACGGCCCAAACCCCUACGGGAGGGAGCAGGGGGGAAUCUUGCGCAAUGGGAGAGAGCCUGACGCCGCCAUGGCGCGGGAAUGAAGAAGGUAUUAGGAGUGUAAAAUUCUUUCACCGGGGACGGUAAUGACGGUACCCGGAGAAGAAGCCCCGGCUAACUUCGUG
rnacentral:rRNA from 1 species